UUCGGAUAGCCGGUUCCCUGCCGGAAGUACAUGAAGGCCCCCUUCCUUGCGCCAGGCGCAAGGAAGGGGGCCUUCAUGUACUUCCGGGGUCAGAGUUCGU
rnacentral:misc_RNA from 1 species